AUUGAACGCUGGCGGAAUGCUUUACACAUGCAAGUCGAACGGCAGCACGGGGCAACCUGGUGGCGAGUGGCGAACGGGUGAGUAAUACAUCGGAACGUGCCCAAUCGUGGGGGAUAACGUAGCGAAAGUUACGCUAAUACCGCAUACGAUCUACGGAUGAAAGCGGGGGAUCGCAAGACCUCGCGCGAAUGGAGCGGCCGAUGUCAGAUUAGGUAGUUGGUGGGGUAAAGGCUCACCAAGCCAACGAUCUGUAGCUGGUCUGAGAGGACGACCAGCCACACUGGAAUUGAGACACGGUCCAGACUCCUACGGGAGGCAGCAGUGGGGAAUUUUGGACAAUGGGGGGCAACCCUGAUCCAGCCAUGCCGCGUGAGUGAAGAA
rnacentral:rRNA from 1 species